UACGUAGGGGGCAAGCGUUGUCCGGAUUUAUUGGGCGUAAAGAGCGUGUAGGCGGCCUGACAAGUCUGCUGUGAAAACUCGAGGCUCAACCUCGAGAUGUCGGCGGAAACUGUCUGGCUAGAGUCCGGAAGAGGAGAGUGGAAUUCCUGGUGUAGCGGUGAAAUGCGCAGAUAUCAGGAAGAACACCGGUGGCGAAGGCGGCUCUCUGGGCCUUACCUGACGCUGAGGAGCGAAAGCGUGGGUAGCGAACAGG
rnacentral:rRNA from 1 species